CUACUUUCAGUAGGGAGGAAGGUAGUGUAGUUAACACCUGCAUUUAUUUGACGUUACCUACAGAAGAAGCACCGGCUAACUCCGUGCCAGCAGCCGCGGUAAUACGGAGGGUGCGAGCGUUAAUCGGAAAUUACUGGGGCGUAAAGCGCAUGCAGGCGGCCUGUUAAGUCAGAUGUGAAAGCCCGGGGCUUAACCUCGGAAUUGCAUUUGAAACUGGCAGGCUAGAGUCUUGUAGAGGGGGGUAGGAAUUUCAGGUGUAGCGGUGAAAUGCGUAGAGAUCUGAAGGAAUACCAGUGGCGAAGGCGGCCCCCUGGACAAAGACUGACGCUCAGAUGCGAAAGCGUGGGGAGCAAACAGGAUUAGAUACCCUGGUAG
rnacentral:rRNA from 1 species